rnacentral:rRNA from 1 species
AGAUUGAACGCUGGCGGCAUGCCUUACACAUGCAAGUCGAACGGCAGCACGGGAGCAAUCCUGGUGGCGAGUGGCGAACGGGUGAGUAAUGUAUCGGAACGUGCCCAGUCGUGGGGGAUAACGCAGCGAAAGCUGCGCUAAUACCGCAUACGAUCUAUGGAUGAAAGCGGGGACGUAAGGCCUCGCGCGAGUUGGAGCGGCCGAUAUCAGUAUUAGGUAGUUGGUAGGGUAAAGGCUACGACCAAGCCCAACGUAUCUGUACGCGUUGGUCUAGAGAGGACGACCGAGACCACGACGUGGGACUGAGACACGGCCAG